UACAAGUCUCCAAGUUCUUCCUGAUCGCAGCCGCCUUAGAUAGUAUAGUUUAUUGAUAUGUUUUUCUUCAAAAAACUAAUUAACCUAGUAAAAAAAAAUGUAAAAUGAAGAACAGGCAUCAUUGGACUGCAAGAGAAAACAAAGAGCCCUACAUCGCACCUGAGCAGCACCGACUGGAAGGAGUCUCUCGAAAUUAGGGCAUAUUCUAGUUUAUUGUGGUUGAACUACAGAAACCUGGGGUUCAACGUACAUCGCUGAAGGUCUGAGAGAAACUGAAAAAUACUGAAAGCACGAAGCCCCAUUUGAGGGUAACUGUCACACACAAUGUCUUCAUCGGACUGUCGCCACUCCAGGCAAGAUGUUGACUGGGACCCUGAGGAAAGACAUGCAGAGGUCCCUGCAAUGUGUACACGAGUCUGUCCUCAGGAAAUCCCACUAGGUGU